GCCCGACUAGCUCACCGGUAGAGCGCCUCACUAGUACUCUUAUCCUGAUAAAGGAUUGGUCAUGAGGAGGCAACAGGUUCGACUCCUGUGUUGGGCA